UCCCUGGCAGUCCAGUGGUUAAGACUCUGCCCUUCCACUGCAGGGGGCAUGGGUUCGAUCCCUAGUCAGGGAA
rnacentral:tRNA from 1 species